rnacentral:rRNA from 1 species
UACAGAGGUCCCAAGCGUUACUGAGAAUCACUGGGUUUAAAGGGUGCGUAGGUGGUCCGUUAAGUCAGUUGUGAAAUCCCCGGGCUCAACCCGGGAACUGCUUCUGAUACUGGCGGACUUGAGACCAGUAGGGGUCACUAGAACUGACGGUGGAGCGGUGAAAUGCGUAGAUAUCGUCAGGAAUGCCGGUGGUGAAGACGGGUGACUGGGCUGGUUCUGACACUGAGGCACGAAAGCGUGGGGAGCGAACGGG